UUAGGCGAAUUGCAUCAGCAAGCCCUGAGAUGCCUUCAGGAGAUGUGCUGGCCAGCUUUAACCCCCCUGCAUCCCCCUCUGCUAGCUUUCUGCCCUUCCCAGCUUUUGACUCACCAUGCUGCCGACUCAUCGGUCCCUCCAGCGAGCACGAAAGGGUGACUCCGGCAGAAGCGAGGCGAGGGAGCUGGAAGAGCCCAGCCCACGCUGCUGGUCGAGCCCUGCCCUGGGAUGAAUCAAGGAUGCAGAUGACCAGCCUGGCCACAGAGGACGCUCCAGAACCGGCGGGGAUGUCAGGGGAUGAUGGAGGCACUAGCAAUGCCUUGUGUCGCCUACUUUUUGCUUGAAAGUCUUGAUGGCUUUGGCCUCAUGCACUCCAGUCCUUCAGGCUGCCCAUCCUUGCCCUGGGAAGGGA